rnacentral:ncRNA from 1 species
GGCCUGUCCGUGGGCCUAAAAAGACGGAACGGCAGGAGCUGGCAACCUCCUAAAAUGCCUA